GGAGAGGGCUAGCGUUAUUCGGAAUUAUUGGGCGUAAAGGGCGCGUAGGCGGAUUAGUAAGUUAAAAGUGAAAUCCCAAGGCUCAACCUUGGAAUUGCUUUUAAAACUGCUAAUCUAGAGAUUGAAAGAGGAUAGAGGAAUUCCUAGUGUAGAGGUGAAAUUCGUAGAUAUUAGGAGGAACACCAGUGGCGAAGGCGUCUAUCUGGUUCAAAUCUGACGCUGAGGCGCGAAGGCGUGGGGAGCAAACAGGAUUAGAUACCCUGGUAGUCCACGCUGUAAACGAUGAAUGUUAAAUAUGGGGAGUUUACUUUCUGUAUUACAGCUAACGCGUUAAACAUUCCGCCUGGGGACUACGGUCGCAAGAUUAAAACUCAAAGGAAUUGACGGGGACCCGCACAAGCGGUGGAGCAUGUGGUUUAAUUCGAUGCAACGCGAAAAACCUUACCACUCCUUGACAUGGAAAUUAUACCUAUUCGAAGGGAUAGGGUCGGUUCGGCCGGGUUUCACACAGGUGU
rnacentral:rRNA from 1 species